GGUUGCGAUCAUACCAGCACUAAUGCACCGGAUCCAUCAGAACUCCGCAGUUAAGCGUGCUUGGGCGAGAGUAGUACUAGGAUGGGUGACCCCCCUGGGAAGUCCUCGUGUUGCAACCCC
rnacentral:rRNA from 1 species